UACGAAGGGGGCUAGCGUUGCUCGGAAUCACUGGGCGUAAAGCGCACGUAGGCGGACUCUUAAGUCAGGGGUGAAAUCCUGGAGCUCAACUCCAGAACUGCCUUUGAUACUGGGAGUCUUGAGUUCGGGAGAGGUGAGUGGAACUGCGAGUGUAGAGGUGAAAUUCGUAGAUAUUCGCAAGAACACCAGCGGCGAAGGCGGCUCACUGGCCCGAUACUGACGCUGAGGUGCGAAAGCGUGGGGAGCAAACAGG
rnacentral:rRNA from 1 species